GACGAACGCUGGCGGCGUGCCUAAUACAUGCAAGUAGAACGCAGUUGCGAACGGGUGAGUAACGCGUAGGUAACUGCCUCAUAGCGGGGGAUAACUAUUGGAAACGAUAGCUAAUACCGCAUACUGUGAGAUGGACCUGCGUUGUAUUAGCUAGUUGGUGGGGUAAAGGCUCACCAAGGCGACGAUACAUAGCCGACCUGAGAGGGUGGACGGCCACACUGGGAAUGGGACACGGGCCAGAAUCCUACGGGGAGGAGCAGGAGGGAAACAUCGGCAAAGGACGGAAGUCUGAACGAGCAAAGGCGGGGGAGUGGAGAAGGGUUUCGGAUCGUAAAACUAUGUUGUUAGAGAAGCGGUAACUAAACAGAAAGGGACGGCUAACUACGUGCCAGCAGCCGCGGUAAUAC
rnacentral:rRNA from 1 species